GUCCACAUGUCCAAUCUAAACUCAUGCAGAGCGCUCGGAGGCUAAAAUCAUGGAUGGACAGGGAUUGGGAUAACAGGUGAAAAUGCACUAACCUAAGCCAGGGAGAACAUCUGCCCUUCUUUCCCUCUGUGUACUGUGGUUCCUCUUGUGUUGGUGUCUAGCACCUAUACGUGGCUUUACAGCAGAGGGAUAUGUAAGCUGGAAUGUCCAUCACACCAAAAGCAGAAUAGUUUGAACAGUAAGCUUGUUUACCAGAGGAGCCACCGUGCUGUAUCUCAGACUUUUAAAAGCACCAUCUGCAGGACUCUUCAGUGGCGAGCAUGGAGCAUCCAUCUGCAAGAGAAAAAACAAAAGACUUCAAUAAGAGGUUAUAAUCAUUACAGGAUUGUCCUGUAAUCAAUUUUUGAUGUGUUUUUGACACAAUUGCAAGAUGUCAAUUCGAUGUUAUUAAAUUGGAAUAGAAAAUUAAAUGUAAAUUUGGAAUUGAAGCUUUCAGAUGAAUAAAACUUUUCUUUUUCUAUUUUU
rnacentral:lncRNA from 1 species